GAUGAACGCUGGCGGCGUGCUUAACACAUGCAAGUCGAACGAUGAAGCCCAGCUUGCUGGGUGGAUUAGUGGCGAACGGGUGAGUAACACGUGAGUAACCUGCCCUUAACUCUGGGAUAAGCCUGGGAAACUGGGUCUAAUACCGGAUAGGAGCGUCCACCGCAUGGUGGGUGUUGGAAAGAUUUAUCGGUUUUGGAUGGACUCGCGGCCUAUCAGCUUGUUGGUGAGGUAAUGGCUCACCAAGGCGACGACGGGUAGCCGGCCUGAGAGGGUGACCGGCCACACUGGGACUGAGACACGGCCCAGACUCCUACGGGAGGCAGCAGUGGGGAAUAUUGCACAAUGGGCGCAAGCCUGAUGCAGCGACGCCGCGUGAGGGAUGACGGCCUUCGGGUUGUAAACCUCUUUCAGUAGGGAAGAAGCGAAAGUGACGGUACCUGCAGUAGAAGCACCGGCUAACUACGUG
rnacentral:rRNA from 1 species